rnacentral:ncRNA from 1 species
GGAGCCUGAGAAACGGCUACCACAUCCAAGGAAGGCAGCAGGCGCGCAAAUUACCCAUUCCCGACGCGGGGAGGUAGUGACGAAAAAUAACAAUGCAGGACUCGUUCGAGGCCCUGUAAUUGGAAUGAGUACACUUUAAAAGCUUUAACGAGUAUCCAUUGGAGGGCAAGUCUGGUGCCAGCAGCCGCGGUAAUUCCAGCUCCAAAAGUAUAUAUUUAAGUUGUUGCGGUUAAAAAGCUCGUAGUUGGAUUUUGGGCGCAGGCGGCCGGUCCGUCGCAAGGCGUGUACUGGACGUCCUGGCCUUCCCUCCGGUUCUCCGCCGGUGCUCUUGACUGAGUGUCGGCGGCGGCCGGAACGUUUACUUUGAAAAAAUUAGAGUGUUCAAAGCAGGCUCUCGAGCCUGGAUAAUGGUGCAUGGAAUAAUGGAAUAGGACCUCGGUUCUAUUUUGUUGGUUUUCGGAGCGCGAGGUAAUGAUUAAGAGGGACAGACGGGGGCAUUCGUACUGUGCCGUUAGAGGUGAAAUUCUUGGAUCGGCGCAAGACGAACGACUGCGAAAGCAUUUGCCAAGAAUGUUUUCUUUAAUCAAGAGCGAAAGUCAGAGGUUCGAAGACGAUCAGAUACCGUCCUAGUUCUGACUAUAAACGAGCCAAUAGCGAUCGGGGGGCGUUACAUUGACGACCCCUCCGGCAGCUUACGGG